rnacentral:rRNA from 1 species
AAUCAACGCUGGCGGCGUGCCUAACACAUGCAAGUCGAACGCGAAAGCCCCGCAAGGGGUCAGUAGAGUGGCAAACGGGUGAGUAACACGUGGGUGACCUGCCUUCGAGUGGGGGAUAACGUCCCGAAAGGGACGCUAAUACCGCAUGACAUCCUGCUUUUGAAAAAGCGGAGAUCAAAGCUGGGGAUCGCAAGACCUAGCGCUUGAAGAGGGGCCCGCGCCUGAUUAGCUAGUUGGUGAGGUAACGGCUCACCAAGGCGACGAUCAGUAUCCGGCCUGAGAGGGCGGACGGACACACUGGGACUGAGACACGGCCCAGACUCCUACGGGAGGCAGCAGUGGGGAAUUGUUCGCAAUGGGCGCAAGCCUGACGACGCAACGCCGCGUGGAGGACGAAGAGCUUCGGGUCGUAAACUCCUGUCGAGCGGGACGAACGCUUCGCGGAUGAAUAAUCCGCGGAAUUGACGGUACCGCUAAAGGAAGCCCCGGCUAACUCCGUG